rnacentral:rRNA from 1 species
CACGUAGUUAGCCGUCCCUUUCUGGUUAAGUACCGUCACAGUAUGAACUUUCCAUUCUCACACUCGUUCUUCCUUAACAACAGAGCUUUACGAUCCGAAAACCUUCUUCACUCACGCGGCGUUGCUCGGUCAGGGUUCCCCCCAUUGCCGAAGAUUCCCUACUGCUGCCUCCCGUAGGAGUCUGGGCCGUGUCUCAGUCCCAGUGUGGCCGAUCACCCUCUCAGGUCGGCUAUGUAUCGUCGCCUAGGUAGGCCAUUACCCUACCUACUAGCUAAUACAACGCAGGUCCAUCUACUAGCGAUGCAAUUGCAUCUUUCAAGCAUCUAACAUGUGUUACAUACUGUUAUGCGGUAUUAGCUAUCGUUUCCAAUAGUUAUCCCCCUCUAAUAGGCAGGUUACCUACGCGUUACUCACCCGUUCGCAACUCACAGUCUAUGGUGUAGCAAGCUACGGUAUAAACUGUGCGUCCUACUUGCAUGUAUUAGGCACGCCGCCAGCGU